CUGGAGGUAUCAGAAGUGCGAAUGCUGACAUAAGUAACGAUAAAGCGGGUGAAAAGCCCGCUCGCCGGAAGACCAAGGGUUCCUGUCCAACGUUAAUCGGGGCAGGGUGAGUCGACCCCUAAGGCGAGGCCGAAAGGCGUAGUCGAUGGGAAACAGGUUAAUAUUCCUGUACUUGGUGUUACUGCGAAGGGGGGACGGAGAAGGCUAUGUUGGCCGGGCGACGGUUGUCCCGGUUUAAGCGUGUAGGCUGGUUUUCCAGGCAAAUCCGGAAAAUCAAGGCUGAGGCGUGAUGACGAGGCACUACGGUGCUGAAGCAACAAAUGCCCUGCUUCCAGGAAAAGCCUCUAAGCAUCAGGUAACAUCAAAUCGUACCCCAAACCGACACAGGUGGUCAGGUAGAGAAUACCAAGGCGCUUGAGAGAACUCGGGUGAAGGAACUAGGCAAAAUGGUGCCGUAACUUCGGGAGAAGGCACGCUGAUAUGUAGGUGAAGUCCCUCG
rnacentral:rRNA from 1 species